CCCCUGCGUCCGGAGGAGUUCAUCGGCUAUGUCCUCGAUGGCCUGGACGAUGACUAUGAUCCUCUCGUCGCGGUCAUCACCAACCGGACCACUCCGAUUCCGGUACGUGAUCUGCUCGCGCAGCUCCAGAGUAUGGAGC